UACGUAGGGUGCGAGCGUUGUCCGGAAUUACUGGGCGUAAAGGGCGCGCAGGCUGUUAUGCGAGUCUGCUGUGAAAUGUACCGGCUCAACCGGUGCCUUGCGGCGGAUACUGCAUAGCUGGAGUACUGGAGAGGGAAGUGGAAUUCCCGGUGUAGCGGUGAAAUGCGUAGAUAUCAGGAGGAACACCGAUGGCGAAGGCAGGUCUCUGGGCAGUUACUGACGCUGAGGCGCGAAAGCGUGGGGAGGCAAACAGGA
rnacentral:rRNA from 1 species